GACGAACGCUGGCGGCGUGCCUAGUACAUGCAAGUAGAACGCUGAAGGAGGAGCUUGCUCUUCUGGAUGAGUUGCGAACGGGUGAGUAACGCGUAGGUAACCUGCCUGGUAGCGGGGGAUAACUAUUGGAAACGAUAGCUAAUACCGCAUAAGAGUAGAUGUUGCAUGACAUUUGCUUAAAAGGUGCAAUUGCAUCACUACCAGAUGGACCUGCGUUGUAUUAGCUAGUUGGUGGGGUAACGGCUCACCAAGGCGACGAUACAUAGCCGACCUGAGAGGGUGAUCGGCCACACUGGGACUGAGACACGGCCCAGACUCCUACGGGAGGCAGCAGUAGGGAAUCUUCGGCAAUGGACGGAAGUCUGACCGAGCAACGCCGCGUGAGUGAAGAAGGUUUUCGGAUCGUAAAGCUCUGUUGUAAGAGAUGAACGAGUGUGAGAGUGGAAAGUUCACACUGUGACGGUAUCUUACCAGAAAGGGACGGCUAACUACGUG
rnacentral:rRNA from 1 species